AAUAGGAGAAUAACAAAUCAGAUUUUUUUACCCUUCAUUUUCAGCUUUUUCCUCCUGAAAAAAUUUAAAUCCAUUUGAAAAUGCUAAAAAUGAGGAGGAAAAAUCUGAUUUGACAUUCUCCUAUU
rfam:Gossypium raimondii Chr06_contig_1118, whole genome shotgun sequence.